rnacentral:lncRNA from 1 species
CUAUCAACUUAAACCUGAUAGUGGCACCUAAAAUAAGCAUUCCUGCUUUCUUCUUUUUAGGGUUACUGAAUGAGUGAAUAGUCACCAGUCUUGAAAAGAGCAGAUGGAGACACUGACUCGACGUGGAAAUCCAAACACCUCUCUGUGAAGUGUUUUCAGAGUUCAUCCCCUGCUGAAAGUCUCCUCAAGGCAAUAAUCAGAAUCCAGAGGAAAAGGUUGCAAUCUACAGGAAGCUGGUAGGUCAAAUUUUAAAAUUAUAUAAAUGCCAGUACAAUUAGAGAGAAAAAAUGUAAGCAG